CGCGUAGGCGGGCCUUCAAGUCGGAUGUGAAAACUAGUGGCUUAACCACUAGCCUGCAUUCGAUACUGUUGGUCUUGAGUACAGGAGAGGAAAGCGGAACUCCAGGUGUAGCGGUGAAAUGCGUAGAUAUCUGGAAGAACACCAGUAGCGAAGGCGGCUUUCUGGACUGAUACUGACGCUAAAGCGCGAAGGCCAGGGGAGCAAACA
rnacentral:rRNA from 1 species